GAUGAAGAACGUAGUGAAAUGCGAUACGUAAUGUGAAUUGCAGAAUUCAGUGAAUCAUCGAAUCUUUGAACGCAUAUUGCGCUCUUUGGUAUUCCGAAGAGCAUGCUUGUUUGAGUAUCAGUAAACACCUCAAAACUUUUGAUUUUUUUUUAAAAAAAAAAGGUUUUGGACUUGAGCAAUCCCAACACCAAUCUUUUUUAGAUCGGUGGCGGGUUGCUUGAAAUGCAGGUGCAGCUGGACAUUCUCCUGAGCUAAAAGCAUAUUUAUUUAGUCCCGUCAAACGGAUUAUUACUUUUGCUGCAGCUAAUAUAAAGGGAGUUUGACCGUAUUGGCUGACUGAUGCAGGAUUUCACAAGGGUCGGCAACGAUUCUUGUAAAACUCGAUCUCAAAUCAAGUAAGACUACCCGCUGAACUUAAGCAUAUCAAUAAGCGGAGGA
rnacentral:misc_RNA from 1 species